rnacentral:lncRNA from 1 species
ACAGUAUAUUCAACUGGCCCAUUGCAGUGUUGUGAUCUUGUUUUGGUAAAGCAAAUGUUUUUUGAUUUUGCUCCGUGUUUUAGGUCAUCAUGCUCAGAUGUAGAAUUCCUCCUCAGAUGUAGAAUUCCUAAGCUUUUUAGCAGAGGCCUUAAAAAAUGCUCCAGAAUUGACUGGAAUUCAAAGCUAUUGAAUGUUCCUUCAUACUGAUUAAUGUCACACACAGCCGAAAGUGAACAAAAACAGCCCCACAUCAGGAUGCUGCUGCCUGAUUUUCUUUUGAUGAUGUGAUAGGAUUGGAUGUUCUUGAUGUUUAAAAAGUGUUGCUGGUUGUAAUUGUUGUGUUUUGCUAGUCUGUUUUACUGUGUUGUAUAAGAAUUUGGAAGAAGUUUUUACUUUUUUGUGCUACAGGCACAUGUACAGAAAUUGUGGGUGACAAACAUAGAAUGCAUUGGAGUGCCAGUGGAUGGCUGCACUUGAGCCCAUUUAUAUGACAUUUUCAUAAUUCAUCGGUAAAAGAGUUCCCUGUGCAAAGGACCAAGUACUGACGACAAUCUCCAUCCACUCAGACCACCAAUACACUGUAGUACACAUGCCAGGCAAGUGGGUGGCGGUAAGGAAGCAGACAUGCGUAUAUGUGGAGUCAUUUAAUCUUUGGAGCCAUAAAGAAUCAUGGAACAACUCCAGGUUGUUAGGAACGGUUGUAUCAGGACCCGGAAGCAGGCAACACACAGUGGAGAAUGGUGUCCGAAAAGCAUUUUAAAGUGAACAAGAACAGUUCGGUCCGCGUUCACAGAGAGGCAUAGAGACCUCGACUGAGUCCAAAACAAGUCUGCAAGGAAAACUCUCAAAAUAGUUAAGUUCGCGAUAAGAACAAAAACACUCCAACGCUGGCAGACGGGAGUUCUGUCCUUAAAUGGAACAGUAGAUUGAAGAUAGGCCGGAGGUGCGUCUGUCUGCAGUGCCAGCUGUGGCUGAUGAAUGGUUCCUCCACGCCCCCUGCAGGAAGAAACCAGCAACAGUUGCCAGAAACUGGGAACCCAACACAGACACCAAUCGGGCCAAGAGGAACCAGGAGAGUGACAGAAUUAUCCUGGCAUGUUGGCUGACCACCUCGCCUGAGCUACAGCAAUCCCAAGAGCCUUCAGCAUGUGAAACAGAGUCUGCGGAAGCUCAUGUGGGUGUAUGUACAUUUAGACCGUUGGAUCCUGUCAACCUCAUUGUCUUCCUGUCAGACUCCCUGCCUCAGAAUGAUAAAAACAUCACACCUCCCUCGCAAAAGAUAACAUAUCAUGAGAGCACGUGGGAUGGCUUGGGAGUGCAGGAUGCAUAAUGUGAUGCUGAGUCAGCAUUUAUCUGGCCUUAACAGUUUGAAUGCUCAAAUAAAUU